rnacentral:rRNA from 1 species
UAAGCGGAGGAAAAGAAACUAACAAGGAUUCCCCUAGUAACUGCGAGUGAAGCGGGAAAAGCUCAAAUUUAAAAUCUGGCGGUCUUUGGCCGUNCGAGUUGUAAUUUAGAGAAGCGUCUUNCGCGCUGGACCGUGCACAAGUCUCCUGGAAUGGAGCGUCAUAGAGGGUGAGAAUCCCGUCUUUGGCACGGAUGCCUGGUGCUUCUGUGAUGCGCUCUCGAAGAGUCGAGUUGUUUGGGAAUGCAGCUCAAAAUGGGUGGUGAACUCCAUCUAAAGCUAAAUAUUGGCGAGAGACCGAUAGCGAACAAGUACCGUGAGGGAAAGAUGAAAAGCACUUUGGAAAGAGAGUGAAACAGUACGUGAAAUUGUUGAAAGGGAAACGCUUGAAGUCAGUCGCGUCGACCGAGACUCAGCCUUGCCUUGGCUUGGUGUACUUCUCGGCCCGACGGGUCAGCAUCAAUUUUGCCCCUCGGAUAAUGGCAAGGGAAAGGUGGCACCUUUACGGGUGUGUUAUAGUCUCCUGUCGAAUGCGAGGGGUGGGAUUGAGGAACUCAGCGCGCACCUCAGUGUCGGGGCUUCGGCCCACGUCACGCGCUUAGGAUGCUGGCGUAAUGGCUUUAAACGACC